UAAAGCACUCGUUAAUGCAGCAGCAAGGCUCUUGGAAGGACAUUUGAGGCUAGAAGAAUGGCUCCCAUCAGCCUACUCUGGAUGUGUUUUGAAGUCUGGAAAACAAUAUCAGCAGGUUUUAUAUUGUGUGUGGGGUCCAAGUUAAAAUUGAACUCCGCAGGCCACGUAUGGUGUGGCAUGGACACAGCCCAGCGUUUUGACAGCUGUGAAUGAGUCUAAUUUUGAAAAGCAGUUCCUUGUGUGAGCUGCUGUUCCUGCAGAGCUGGUCAGCUGGUGGAAACAGGAUGUGUCUGAGGAUGCUUUACAUGUAAUAAUGGCUUUUGAAGAGGAAUUAAUAUAGACUCUGACUCAUCUCUCCUACUGAAAUAAAAAGCCAAUUUUAUCUUGCUUUAA